AGAGUUUGAUCMUGGCUCAGAACGAACGCUGGCGGCGUGCUUAACACAUGCAAGUCGAACGCGAAAGGGACUUCGGUCCCGAGUAGAGUGGCGCACGGGUGAGUAACGCGUAAGUAAUCUACCCCUGUAUCUGGAAUAACCCACCGAAAGGUGAGCUAAUACCGGAUACGUUUAUCUUGAUGCGAAUGAUGAUAAAGAAAGGUGGCCUCUUCAUGAAAGCUACCGUACAGGGACGAGCUUGCGUACCAUUAGCUGGUUGGUAGGGUAAUGGCCUACCAAGGCGACGAUGGUUAGCGGGUCUGAGAGGAUGAUCCGCCACACUGGAACUGAAACACGGACCAGACUCCUACGGGAGGCAGCAGUGAGGAAUAUUGCGCAAUGGGGGCAACCCUGACGCAGCGACGCCGCGUGGACGAUGAAGGCCCUUGGGUCGUAAAAUCCUGUCAGAUGGAAAGAAAUGUACAGGUGUUAAUAUCGCCUGUAUUUGACGGUACCAUCAAAGGAAGCACCGGCUAACUCCGUGCCAGCAGCCGCGGUAAU
rnacentral:rRNA from 1 species